rnacentral:rRNA from 1 species
AAUCUUCCACAAUUGACGGAAGUCUGAUGGAGCAUCGCAGCGGGAUUGAAGAAGGUCUUCGUAUCGUUAAUCUCUGUUGUAAGGGACGAACACGUCAGGGAGUCACUGCCCGUACCUUCACGGUACAUUAUCAGAUAGCCAACACUAACUACGUGCAAGCAGCCGCGGUAAUACGUAGGUGGCAUGCGUUGUCCGGAAUUAUUGGGCGUAAAGCGAGAGCAGGCGGUCCUUUAAGUCAGAUGUGAAGGCCCGCGGCUCAAUCGUGAAGGGUCAUUGGAAGCUGGAGGAAUUGAAUGCAGAAGAAGGAAGCGGAAUUCCACGUGUAGCGGUGAAAUGCGUAGAUAUGUGGAGGAACACCAGUAGCGAAGGCGACUUUCUGGUCUGUAACUGACGCUGAGGCGCGAAAGCGUGAGCAGCAAACA